GAAGGUUUUAAAACGGAAUUCCACUUCUAAGCAUGACAAAACUUUUCUUCAUUAAGUGGCGCGCCAUGUACGUUCGAUUGUUACUCACUUUCUCCCCAUAUUCACUGAUCUCGGGACGCACCCAGUCAGAUCCAAAAUCUGUUAUUGAUCUCGGGACGCACCCGGUCGGAAUCAAUAACCUUAACUGUGCUCCGGAUAACCUCCUGUCAAGCACCGUGCUCCGGAUAACCUCCUGUCAAGCACCCACCCUUAUAACGUUCUAAAUCUGUUAGUGCACGAUGGUGAUCAACCCAUCGAGCCACUAACCCUGUGUACACAAUCCUCAUUUAGCGUGUUAGGCCAAAUGAGAAUCUCGAUCGAUACUUAAGUGAGCCUUAAACAAUUACAGAACGCACAUAAAAACAUUUAUAUUGGAUAAACAGAUGAUUUUCAUGAAAUAUCAGAGCUUAUAUAACUCAAGAUACAUUGUAUGUAAAAUAAAACCCACCUCGAAGUGGAGAUUCAGUGCUUGCUCUUCUUGAAGCUCUAAAGCCCUUGGUUACUCGAACCUACAAGAAAUCUAUUCUUAAAUAGGUCUCGAGGUGUCAUCCUAAUUUCUAAGUAAAAUGGGAAUCGCUAACUAUUGAUACACUUUGCCCGAAUUAAGGAAUACGUAUUCAUUGAGGAUCAAAGUUCCAAAAAUAAUUAAUAACUUAAUGAAAAUUAAAUAAAUAAUGAAUUUAAAAUUUUUAAAAUACUUAGUAAUUUAAUCAAAAUAUAAAUUUAAUCCAUGAGGAAUUAAUAGACUACUCAAGUCUCAUUUAUAAAAUAAUAGAGUCCAAAGAAUUUAAUAUAAGAGGCCUGCUUAAUUUAAAUGAGCCAAGGUAGAAUAAAUAAACAGAGCCCAAUUAGAAAAUAAUAAAAUCAGCCCAGUAUAUAUAAUUAAAUCGGCCCAUUAGCUAAUUUGAAGAUAGCCCAAAUUACAAGUCCAAUUAAAAGGGUACAAAACCCUAAAUAAAAAAAAAAUCUGAAAUUAAAAACAAAAUAAUGUAAACAUCUUUCCUCACUUUCUCUCUCCUCUCAAACGGCUCUCCCCCUCUCCCUCUCUAUCUCUCUCUUUCUCCCUCAAAAACCACUGCCCCUCUCUCUCUUGGCCGGACGGCCAUCGGCUUCUGCCGCCGCCGCUCCAAGACCGGCGGAAUCAUCGCCGCAAACCACCUCCGGUCGUCCCUCUCUCACCACCUCCCAUCCGCCUCUCUCUUUCUCUCUCUAAAACUUCUCUUUUUCUUUCUCUCAAAGCCACCGCCUCUUCUCCCUCCACAGAUCCGCCGCCGUCGCCCUCUCACUCUCUCCUCCGCCCUCUCUCCCCGGCCGGCGAACUCGCUCGGAGCCACUCCCCCAUUCGUCUCCCUCGCGUGAAUCGGACCGGCAACAGCAGCUGCCUUCGCCUUCCCCGUACGGGAGCAGCGCCGCCGCCUCCUGUUUCUCCAGAUCCGGCGACGUCGCCGCCUCCGCUCCGUUUGCCAGCAACACAACAGCAGCAGUGGCGCCGCCGCCGUGGCAGACGCCCCGCUCAGCCACCUUGCUCCGACUCCGUCUGCCUUGGUCGGCGGGCUGCUACAACGCAUGCAGCGCCGGCAGCCGCGGCCUUGACAGCGGGCGUCGAGCUCGGAUAGCCCGCACCCGUCUCCCUCUCGUCUCUCACACUCAACAAGGCAACGAAAAGAAAAUUCUCAGAUUUAGGAAGAUUUGAUUUUUGAGUGAUCUGUUUCUGAAAUCUUUUAGAAAAAAAAGUCUCUUGCUUGUUCUUAUUCAGAAAUGUAAGAAAAAUAUGCACUUGAUUUCUGUUCUUGCUUUUGUUCUUCGUUCAUUUGAAUAAUCGUGAAAUGAAAUAAAGUAAUAAUGUAGAGGUGUUUUUGGGAGUCCUAUGUCUGUUCUUCUGUCAAAGUCUAGGAAUGAGAGCAAAGAAAAAUGAUUUGGGGAGAAGAUGAACCUGGUGCAGAGUUCUUCUUGAAUAUGUUGCUGUGUUUGUUCGCAGCUGCAGAGAUGGAGCAUGUGGAUGGAAAAUAUUUGUGGUUGAAGGGUAUACUUAAAUGGAGGUGGAGGGAGGUUGCUUAUAGGCUGAAUUGCCAAGAUUUAGAGACAAUAUGAAAUUUGAUACUGCAGAAUUUUUGGGGAAGAGGGAAGAUUUGAUACAGCAGAAUUUUUGGGAAAAUGGAGAAUGUUUCAGUUCACAAACUCCUACACACACGUCCCAAUUUCUCCUAUUGAUCUCCUAAUCUUGGGCUAUUAAUGGGUUCACAAAUUUUGGGCUGCAAGCCCACAAAAAUAAAUGUAUAAAUAUAUAAUUAAAAACAUAAAUAAAUAAUAGAUAAAAAUGGAAAAUGCUUGAAAAUAUUUCACAUAUACCUUAGCAACGAGCUCAACGUCUUUGAUCGAUAAAAUAGUAAUGAACUACAAUUUAUGAAAUUUCUUUGAAGUAUUAUAAGUUACAUAAAAAAAACAUCGGACGUGUAUCAAUAGUAUACUAAUUUAAGGAUUUUUUGUUUUCCUCAUGUAAAAGUCGGGAUGUCACAUACCACCCUCCUUAAAAAAAAUUUCGUCCUCGAAAUUUACAAGCCGUAGCAAUCUAACUCGGGGUAUUGAGCUUACAACUUUUCUUCUAGUUCUCACUUCGCUUUUUUCUACACCAUGGUGGUGCCAAAGUACUAACCGAGGGAUUUUGCUCAUUUCUUAAGACUUGGAUCUUUCGAUCAAGCAUCGGGAUUGGCUUAUCUCUAUAGUUCAGGUGUUGGGCUAGAACUACUUCGUCAUGCUUUACUGCGUGCUUUGGAUCAGCACAUACUUUCGUAAUGUUGAAACAUGAAACACAUUGUGCACGUUCAAAUUGCUAGGUGGCAGUACCAACAUAUAAGCUACGAGUCCCAUUCUAUCUAGAAUCUCGAAAGGUCCUAUAUAGCGGGGUCGCAAUUUAGCUAUUCUUUCAAAACGGAUAACUCUUUUUGUUGGGGAAAUUUCGAGAAAGACUCGGUUCCCGGCAUCGAAUUCCAUUUCAGUGCGUCGUGUGUUACUUUUCUCUAUCUUAUGUUUCUUUAAUCCUCUGCUUAAUCUGGUCGACUUCCUCAAUCAUCCACUGAACUAAUCCCGGUCUCAACAGUUUUCGUUCACCUGCUUCUUCCCAGUAAAGUGGUGAUCUGCAUUUACGUCCAUAUAGUGCUUUGUAAGGUUAUUCCAAUCGUUGACUGGUAGCUGCCAUUAUGGGCGAACUCCACGGGGGGUAGCAGGUCCUCCCAAUUUUCUUUCCCCUUGUCUGCAAUAGUUGUUCAAAGCAUGUAUUUCAAUACUCCAAUAAUCCAUUCAGAUUGACCGUCCGUUUAGGGGUGGUAGGUUGUGUCGAAGUUCAGUGUGGUGCUCAUCGUUUCCUGUAAGCUCCUCCAAAAUCUAACUGUGAAUUUGGAAUCACGAUAAGAUGUGAUUGACUCAGGUAUACCGUCAAGACGUGCAAUUUCUUUAACAUAUAGCUUUGAAAGCUUCUCUUAUCCGAAAGUCAUUUGUAUGUGGAGGAAAUACGCUGAUCUUGGUAAGCUCACCACAAAAUCCAUGUUGAUAUAUUCUCAUUUCCAUUCAGGAAUAGGUAAUUGUUGUAGCAUUCCAUACGACCUUUGAUGCACAGCUUUAACUUGUUGACAGGUGUGACAUCGCUGCACAAACGACGCUACAUCCCUUUUAUUUUCUCUCCAUAAGAAAAUUUGCUUCAACCCCGGUACAUCUUUGUGUUGCCUAGAUGUGCAACGUAAGGAGUAUCAUGAGCCUCCCUCAAAAUCUCGUUCUUCAACUUUUCCUUGUAUGACACGCACAAUCUUUUACCAACCGUUAGUGCAUUAUCCUUGUCUUCAGAGAAUCCCUUAGUUUCACUCGUUCUUGCCGCAAGACGUGUCUUCUCUAAGAACCAAUCUCACCUUUGUGCUUGCACAAUUCUUAGAAAGCUUCUGACCUCGUGGCGCUCGUCGGUGUUCUCUAUUCUUUGACGACCUCUACUUUGGCCGGAUCCACUAUAAUUCCUUUGACUGAAACAAGGUGCCCGAGAAACAUCACUUCGCUCAGCCAGAAUUCACAUUUGCUAAACUUGGCACAUAAUCAUUCUGCUCGUAAGGUUUCUAGCACUAUGCGCAGGUGCUCCUCGUGUUGUUCCUUUAUUUUUUUGUAUAUGAAGACGUCAUCGAUAAAAACUAGAACGAAUUUGUCCAAGAAUUGGUGAAAAACUCAAUUCAUCGAAUCCAUGAACACAGUCAGUGCAUUGGUUAAACCAAAAGGCACCACUGUGAAUUCAUAAUGCCCGUACCGAGUUUGAAAUGUUGUCUUGGGGAUAUCUUCCUUUCUUAUCUUAAGCUGGUGAUAGCUAGACCUAAGAUCUAUCCUGGAAAAUACGUCUGCUCCUUUCGGUUGGUCGAACAAAUCAUCGAUCCUGGGAAGGGGGUACUUAUUCCUUAUCGUGAGCUUGUUGAGUUCUCGGUAGUCAAUACACAUCCUCAACGAGCCACCUUUCUUUUUGACGAACAAAACUGGUGCUCUCCAUGGCGACACACUAGGUCGCAUAGAACCUAAGUCUAACAACUCCGGCAGUUGUGUUUUCAGUUCUUGUAGUUCUGGUGGGGCCAUUAUGUAUGGCGCCUUGGACACAGGUGCAGCUCCAGGUUCCAAAUAAAUUGUAAAUUCCAAUUGUCGAUCAGGUGGUAAAUCGAGACAUUUUUCGGGAAAAACAUCUCUGAAAUCUUGAACCACUGGAACUUCUUUGAUCGUUUUUCUUUGAUUCUGGUUCUCUUGUUAAACUAACUAAGAAAAGUCUGACAUUCUUCUUUCCUCAUUAGCUUGGUAGCAAUGACUCGGUCGUGAGAGCUCUGCUCAGUGUUUGUGCAUAGGUGAGACCUCCCUAAUUUGCUAGGGAAAUUGAUAUCUCAUGGCACAUUCCGAACCUGAACUUCUCCGCGCGGUUCUCAUAAGUAUAGAUAGGAGUGGAGCGUAUCGUGUCAGUCGGUUGAAAGUCCUUUCAUACUCAGUUACCGUUUCAGCCCUCUGCCUCAGGUUCCAGAACUCGCUUUAUUUUCUCCGUUGGUAACAUCCUGGUGGGUACCUCUCAGAUAACUCUGCCAAAAUAAUCCUCGGUGAAAUUCUCCCAUUGUUUUGAUCCACUUCUCGGCAUUCAUAGGAUCGCCUAAACCGUCAAGCCUAGGUGGCUUCUCUUUGCAAAAUCCUUUUAUCUACUAAAUGGUCUUGUGCUACUUGUGGUGCAACCUCAUUAGGGAAAUUCCUCGUCGUCAUCCACGCUCUCUUAUUGCCAUAUCCAUUGUGUGGUUAAAGGUUCGAUCGGUUAUACGUCCUAACAAUACCGUGUGUGAAUCAAUUAUAAGAAUGGCGUGUUAUGAGAAAGCAAAUUUGAACAACACGCAUUAGGUAUGAAUAAAUUACUUGUAUAUUUGCCUCAAAAGAGGACUUUCAUAAUAUUCAAAAUGAUAGUGCAUCUCAAAAGGGCUUUUGAUUAACACGAUUGAAGAAUGUCGGAUCUAGAUUAAUCAUAAGAACUAGGCGUGUUAUGAGGAAGAAAAUUUUGAAUAACACGUGUUGAAGUACAAACAAAAUACUUAUGUAUCAUAUGCCUCAAAAGAGGACUUUCAAUAUAAUGAAUACGAUAGUAUACUCCAAGUGUUUCUUUGGAAUACAUAAGCAUAAUAUGAGAAUUUAUUAAAAGAAUUGAGGUUCUAGGUAAGGUCUGAGUUAGAUGUAGAAGAGUUCGACCUUACAAUCAAAAGGUUUGGUGAUUAUGUCAAAAGAAACGUGAUUCCACACAACUGGUACCACCACUAAUCUAAUAACAUAUGCAGACAAUUGCUCUCUCGUGAAUUUCUUGUGAUAGCUUCCUCAAUAUUGUUCUUAUGAUCUUCUUACGAUGUCAAUGGCCUUGGCUUGGUGCUCUUGGUCAGCUGCGGAAAAUCGUUGAUCACAACUCUUGGGCAUGUGUUGCUUGUCCCUAUAUUCCAUUAAUUAGAAAGGUGCCGCACGAGCCUCGUUGAUGAUUCGAUAUCUAAUACUCUUCCAUUGCGCGCAUCUAUUCAAAACACGAAAAUCUCCCAAAAUUCCUUGAAGAAAACAUCUAGGUUCUUGAUGUAGUCAUGGAACUUCUCUUCAUAUUGUUCUUGCAGGUACAAUGGAGUCCAAUGCUUGCAGAAUUUCUCGCCUUGUCUGUCUGUCUAUAAAGAAAGACCAAUGACAUUCAAACGGAAAUAGCGCGAAGCUAGAUCUAACCAAGUUUCUCUGUUCUGUGGGCAUCAUAGGUAUUCUGAGAGCAUUCUAUGUUCAUCAAGGUUCUAUUCUUCGUCAUUCUAAAGUUCUCUAGGCAAAAGUAUAGUUCAUAUGGAUUGAAAUCCUAUCAUAGCAUUAGCUAGAGCACCUCUAACUAUGAGGCAAAGCAUACUCUUAUAAGUUCAUAACUUUGUUGACUAUUGAGUCAACCUACUUAUAACUAUCAGGUCAAAAAGGUCAUAAAUAACCGAGGUCAACAAAUAAGGUCACUUAUGCCAUCUGAAAUAUUACUCAACAUGCAUGAAGUUAAAAAUCAUAACAUAUCUUUAAUCAUAAACGAUUCAUAGAAUCAAAACAUAAACAACAAAUCUUUUCUCUUUCAAACAUGCUUAUGUGAGCUCAAAGAGACUCGUCAUAAUAUACUUUUCUGAAAAUAGAUCAUGUGGGCUCGGAGAGUCCCAUCAUGAUUACAUACUUUGCUUCUUGUAAGGACUCGUUGGUCCAGAAAUCACACUUUUCUUUCUUUGCAUAAACAAUAUCUCCUUGCAUAUGUGGAAUCAUUCAAGUAUUUCACAAGAUAAUCAUUUGCGCGCACUUUCUUGAAGCAAAAUCAUUUAUUUGAAAAUUUUGAAAACGUACCUUUGUUGAUCAGGCAGUGAGACGGUGAGCUGAGGGUUGCAGGAACGCUUAGAAGUCUAGAGGUAUUAUUCUAGACUCGAAAUAAUUCAACUAGCGGUAAUCAGAGACACGAAAGAAAACUUAUGCUCUGAUACCACUUGUAACGACCCGACUUCUCCACGGCAAGAAGAAAUAGGAAAAUAAUUGAAGAACUUAAUUGAGCUGAAUAAACUUGCCAAUUUACCCGUUAAAUCGGGUAUGCAUAUCUAAAGAGAUAAGAUGAAAGGAGAUAAAAUGAAAGGCAUUAAGAGAUGCUAAUCAAAUGACAAUAUUCGAACUCAGGAUCGCAUAAGUUUAGUUUCGUGACUCUGAUCAUAAUCAGUGAUAGCUUCAUUAAAAGAAAUAUGGGUUAAGAGUCUAAGCCCAACAAGAUAAUAUUAUACCACACAAUAGAAAUUCUCAAUUUAGGGGAUGGAGGAUGAGGUGACAAGAUAGUUAUUAGCGGAAGCAAAAGACAUCGUGGAACCUUAGCCUCAGCUCAGCCUCGUCUGCACCAACUGAUCAACCUGAAAACAUUUGAAAAUAAUUUGGGCUGAGUACUAAUGUACUCAGUGGGCACAAGUUUCUGAAAUAUUUUAUGAAGUAAUCGAAGCAGUUUAUCCAAUAUCACAAUCAUGACUUAGAAGGUUUUAAAACGGAAUCCCACUUCUAAGCAUGACAAAACUUUUCUUCAUUAAGUGGCGCGCCAUGUACGUUCGAUUGUUACUCACUUUCUCCCCAUAUUCACUGAUCUCGGGACGCACCCAGUCAGAUCCAAAAUCUGUUAUUGAUCUCGGGACGCACCCGGUCAGAAUCAAUAGCCUUAACUGUGCUCCGGAUAACCUCCUGUCAAGCACCGUGCUCCGGAUAACCUCCUGUCAAGCACCCACCCUUAUAACGUUCUAAAUCUGUUAGUGCACGAUGGUGAUCAACCCAUCGAGCCACUAACCCUGUGUACACAAUCCUCAUUUAGCGUGUUAGGCCAAAUGAGAAUCUCGAUCGAUACUUAAGUGAGCCUUAAACAAUUACAGAACGCACAUAAAAACAUUUAUAUUGGAUAAACAGAUAAUUUUCAUGAAAUAUCAGAGCUUAUAUAACUCAAGAUACAUUGUAUGUAAAAUAAAACCCACCUCGAUGUGGAGAUUCAGUGCUUGCUCUGCUUGAAGCUCUAAUGCCC
rnacentral:lncRNA from 1 species